CUACAGGCUUAACACAUGCAAGUCGAGGGGUAGCAGGGUAGCAGUACCGCUGACGACCGGCGCACGGGUGAGUAACACGUAUCCAACCUUCCCAUAACUCGGGGAUAGCCUUUCGAAAGAAAGAUUAAUACCCGAUAGUACUUUUUUAGGGCAUCUUAGAAAAGUUAAAGAUUUAUUGGUUAUGGAUGGGGAUGCGUUCCAUUAGAUAGUUGGUGAGGUAACGGCUCACCAAGUCUUCGAUGGAUAGGGGUUCUGAGAGGAAGGUCCCCCACAUUGGUACUGAGACACGGACCAAACUCCUACGGGAGGCAGCAGUGAGGAAUAUUGGUCAAUGGGCGAGAGCCUGAACCAGCCAAGUAGCGUGAAGGAUGACGG
rnacentral:rRNA from 1 species